rnacentral:rRNA from 1 species
AGCAAGGAAUUUUCCCCAAUGGGCGCAAGCCUGAGGGAGCAACGCCGCGUGCAGGACGACGGCCUUCGGGUUGUAAACUGCUUUUGGGGGGGAAGAGACUGACGGUACCCCCCGAAUAAGCCCCGGCUAACUCCGUGCCAGCAGCCGCGGUAAGACGGAGGGGGCAAGCGUUGUCCGGAAUCACUGGGCGUAAAGCGCACGUAGGCGGUCUGGUGCGUCGGCGCUGAAACCUGCGGGCUCAACCCGCAGACGCGUGCCGAUACGACCGGACUGGAGGCAGGCAGAGGGUGGCGGAAUUCCGGGUGUAGUGGUGAAAUGCGUAGAGAUCCGGAGGAACGCCUGUGGCGAAAGCGGCCACCUGGGCCUGAACUGACGCUGAGGUGCGAAAGCGUGGGGAGCGAA